rnacentral:rRNA from 1 species
CCUACGGGAGGCAGCAGUGGGGAAUAUUGGUCAAUGGACGCAAGUCUGACCCAGCCACGUCGCGUGAAUGAUGACUGCCCUCGGGUUGGUAAGCUUCUUUUAUAGGGGAGUAGAACGAGACGCGUGUGCCUUUUUACAUGUCCGUUAUGAAUAAGGCUCGGCUAACUCCGUGCCAGCAGCCGCGGUAAUACGGAGGAAGCGAGCGUUGUACGGAUUGAUUGGGUGUAAUGGGAGCGUAGAUGGGUUGUUAAGUCAGUUGUGAAAGUGCGCGGCUCAACCGUAAAAUUGCAAUUGAUACUGGCAGUCUUGAGUACAGGAGAGGUAGGCGGAAUUCGUGGUGUAGCGGUGAAAUGCUUAGAUAUUACGAAGAACCCCGAUGGCGAAGGCAGCUUACUGAACUGUGACUGACACUGAGGCUCGAAAGUGUGGGUAUCAAACAGGAUUAGAUACCCUUGUAGUC